UACGUAGGGUGCAAGCGUUUAAUCGGAAUUACUGGGCGUAAAGCGUGCGCAGGCGGUUUUGUAAGUCUGUCGUGAAAUCCCCGGGCUCAACCUGGGAAUUGCGAUGGAGACUGCAAGGCUAGAAUCUGGCAGAGGGGGGGUAGAAUUCCACGUGUAGCAGUGAAAUGCGUAGAGAUGUGGAGGAACACCGAUGGCGCAAGGCAGCCCCCUGGGUCAAGAUUGACGCUCAUGCGACGAAAGCGUGGGGAGCAAACGAAGGAUUAGA
rnacentral:rRNA from 1 species